UACGUAGGGUGCAAGCGUUAAUCGGAAUUACUGGGCGUAAAGCGCGCGUAGGCGGCUUUGCAAGUCGGGUGUGAAAUCCCCAGGCUUAACCUGGGAACUGCAUUCGAGACUGCAUUGCUAGAGUAUGGGAGAGGGAAGUGGAAUUUCCGGUGUAGCGGUGAAAUGCGUAGAUAUCGGAAGGAACAUCAGUGGCGAAAGCGACUUCCUGGACCAAUACUGACGCUCAUGUGCGAAAGCGUGGGGAGCAAACAGG
rnacentral:rRNA from 1 species